UACCAGCACGAAAACACGUUGAACACAUCAUUUCCUGAUAGAUCACUGAAGUUAUACAACGUUGGCCGUGGUUGGUAUCCGGAUGGGUGAUCAUCGAAGCAAUCGCCGCGUGCUGUUGU
rnacentral:rRNA from 1 species